rnacentral:rRNA from 1 species
UACGUAGGGUGCAAGCGUUAUCCGGAAUUAUUGGGCGUAAAGAGCUCGUAGGCGGUUUGUCGCGUCUGCUGUGAAAACUGGAGGCUCAACCUCCAGCCUGCAGUGGGUACGGGCAGACUAGAGUGUGGUAGGGGAGACUGGAAUUCCUGGUGUAGCGGUGAAAUGCGCAGAUAUCAGGAGGAACACCGGUGGCGAAGGCGGGUCUCUGGGCCGAUACUGACGC